UUCAGAAAAGAAAAGCGAACGUGAGGAGCUGGCUGGAGAGGGAGCGGCAUGAGGCUGGGGGCAUGUGGGGACCCCUCACUGAACGGCCUGGGGCCUCCAUGCACUGAGGACGCCACAGAGGGACGGGGGCUCGGGCUGCAGAGAACAGGCCGAGAUCAGACCCGAAGCUGCAAGCCCUGAGACGCCAGGCGGGCACCUGGGGAGGCGGCCUCCUCCCGGGGCCUCGGCCGGCUGGCGCCGCCCUUUUCUGGCCUGUGGUUUAGAAGGAACAUGGGGAAAAGGCAAAUCACCAAUUCCGAUCCCGUCUUUAUUUACAGUUUUUGAAUUCGUGUUCAUCCUGGCUUUUUUGCAUUAAAUUCGAUGUCCUGCAAUGUCCAUGACAAUACCAGUCGUGGUCACUGAGCUUUUUGCCGCCCCCCCCCCAGUGCCUCACCGGCGGGCAGCACCCUAUCCCGCCUGCGCCCCAAGCUUGGGCUAGUGGUUCUCAGACCCUGCGAUUCUAUAGCCAAUCCCUGUUCACAGGGGAAAAAGGUUGGAGGGACCAAGACGGGGCUGGUGACGUUUAAUUUUACCAGUUAAGGGCGUUUAUACAGUCUACUGUCAUCGUCUCCUUGAAAUAAGGAGGCGUGAGGACACACCUUCACACUGGAUAUGUGUAGCUUUCGGCAAACCCACAGUGUUUCUCUUGUUUUUCAGGAGAAUCUGUGCUGAGGACCAGACCUGUCUGUGAGGAGCUCUGGGGCCCGUCCGGUCAGCGGCCCUGUGACUCACCGUGACCACAGACACACCGGGAACACACCCCAGGGCCACCGGGACCUCCGGGCGGCAUGUCCUUCCCUGAAGGACCAUGGCACGAAGCGUGGCCCAGCAGACAGCACGGUGCCUGGCGCAGUGGACGUGCCUGACAGAGCCACCGAGGGAACAGGUGGGCGAGUGAAGCCAAACAUUGGUGUGGAAUGACGCAGAUCAGAAAGUCUGCAGAGUAAGGAGCCGAGCGCAGAUGAGUACGACCAAACCACUCAUGGGGAGUCCCUAGCUGCCCGCCCGCCGUCACCCCCGACCCCCACUGCUCUCCCUUCCUCCUCACGGCUCCCAGGCCUCUGCUCUUCGCAUCCUCCCAGCACUGACACGAACCCAGCCAGCCGGAGAGCACCAAAAGGGCCACUUAGAAGUGAGCCAUCUGAGUGCUGGGUCCUACUGCCCACCGGGGCUGCAGCAGAAGCCACACAGCCACCUUCCUGCCCGCAGUAAACAGGCUGCAAUGGCCGAGUCAGGACUGGGGGCCCGGGCUGCGACCUCAGCCGCCCACAGGCCACGUGCUCACAGGGCCGGGUACACGGCUGACCGCUGUGCCCUCGCCAUCCAACGUCCUCCGAACUCCUGGACGGGGGCCCCACACCUAACGCGACCCUGGGUCCUGAUCUUUCACAGCUGCUCCUGGGCCUGACGGGAACACUGGGUGCCAGAUGGCCGGGGUGGGGCACCCUUCACCCCGCCAUCCUGUUAGACCUCCGUCAGCUCCUGGCCAUCCCUCAGUCUGCCGUGCUUGGGGCACCAGCUCCGGCGCCUGUCUUACUUCUCAGACACCGAACUCUUCCUAAAACGCACGUGUUCGGUGGCUGCCAUGCUGCCACGUGGCAUCCAGACCUGGGAGCUUGGCACACAGCCCUGCGGCCGGCCUGUGCCUGCCACCUCCUCCACACUUGACUCCGGCCAGAGUGAAGCACGCACGUGCGUCUCCCGACUUCAGUGUGCUGCUCCUGACACCAGGACGUCCCUCCUUCUCCACCUGGCUGUUGGGGGGACUUCGACUGUACACAGACCUCGGGGCGCCCGCCGCCCAGCUUCCACUUACCGAGGCCUGGCCGCGUUUGCCAUCCAUGCGCCCACCCACGCCUGUCCCAGCCUCGGGUGAUUUUGAAGCCACGACAGUGCAAUGACCAUAGUCACCUCCCAAGUGUCAUGGGGCUUAAAGACUCAGCGUCCUGCUCUGCUGUCCCCCAACCCUCCUGGAGCCUGGGGAACGGUGGCUCGAGGGGCGUCACUUUACUGAGGUGAAAACCUCCAAAAGGACUCAGCAAGGGCGGAGGUGGCCUUGAAACCCACGACCCCUCUCCUCGCCACAGUCCCUCCCCCAGAGGCUGGAGGAGGUCGUCAUCGGAUCGAGAGAAGGGACAGGCAGGCAGCGCAGUGGGUGCUCAGUGGUGUGUCCCCACACUGCCCUUCCGGGGCAUAAAGAUCUGCAAGGCACAGCUGCCAUCAUCCGAGGCUGAGACGGACAGUGACCCCGGACCCAGAACGUUCUGGGCAGACUGGGAUCACGGGCACAGGGGACAGGUGAGAGGGAGCAAGAUGGGAGCAGUGACUUCCCGGAGCAGCACACCCUGGACGGGGUGGCGGGACCGUCUCUGUGAGCGGUGACAGCGAGCUGUGCCCUGGGGCCAGAGCCUGCAGAUUUCUCGCCAGCCAAGGGCCAUGGAGCCGGCACAAGCUCUUAACCAGAGACUUGGCCAUCGAUCGGAUCGGCGUUUCGGGAAGCACUGUCUCAGGCAUUUGCGGAGGGUGGGGCUGAGGUGGGGCCGAGCGUGCGCUCCCACAGGGGUCCAGGCCGGCAGCCGAGCAGGGAGCGCAGGGGCCGCAGGAGAAGCCCACGGCGCCGCCACACCGGGGUCACAUGUGGACGCCCAGAAGGCAGAGCGCGGUGCCCGGAGGCCUCGGUGCCGAACCCUGGCUGAGGAAAGCUGGCAGUUUGUGACGAGGACCCGAUCCCGGCUCAGUGCCCACAAGUCUGGCUUUAGUCAGGUCUGACCCGCAGCAUGGGGCCACGUGCCACGUGGUCAGUCUCACCCAGGCUGGGGGCAGAAAGGGCGGGGACCGAGCCUGAGCAUGAGGAUAAUGUUGGGAACAACCCCAGCAAGGUCUGAGCUAAACAGGACAAGUAAAGCCAGAAGGGCGUGGAAGUUGAGGAGUGUGCCCAUACUGGGGGCCUUCUUCCAGCUUUUGUGCUCCAUCCUCACGGAGACUCCAAACCAGGCAGCAGCACCUCCGUUUACAGGCGGAGAACUUCAAAGGUCACUGUGCAUGUUCUAGGACCCAGAAUUCCACUCCAAAAUGGCAUCACAAGCACACCCGAAAAGGCCAGGCUGACCCGUGUCCUGGGGGACGGGAGGGGGAACGGCGAUGAGAGGAAGCUGGGGGCAGCGCCCACAACUCCUGCUUCUUGUUCACUGCGUGAGAGCCCAUGGAACUCUACAUUUGCAUUUUGUUUUCUUUUCGUAUGUAAUUUAUAUUUCAACAAAAACGUGUGUGAAAAAAAAUCCAUUAUCAAGUAAACAUGCGAUACAGACAGGAAGACACUAAAGAAUGAAAACAAAAGCAAAGCUUGUAAACAUUAGAUGCUGUCUGAGGCCACCCAGCGGGUGGUCCAGCUGGCCUUGCAAACCCAGUACUUGUCGGAGCACAGCAGCUGCCAGCGGUGUGCUGGGAAAGGACCUGUGUGCCCCCUCCCCCUUGGGCACAGGUGGCCUUGGGGACAGCAGAUCAGUGCACUGGGGGUGAAAAUCUACGGGGUUUUUAAGCAGCCCUGGCAGCUGGCUGUUGUGUGCUGACUGUUCACGUGUGGGAUUUCGUCUCUGGGAGGGCUGUCGUGUUUUCUCUCCCUGGCCAGGCAGCGCCUGUGACUAUUGUCACGGCCUCCUGAGUCCGCCCCCCCCCCCUUCAGUCCAGCCUGUAUACCGCUCCUGGUGUCAUCUUCCCAGAGCAGCACACGGCAGCACCUCAGAGACCAACCUCAUCCUCUGUGUGUCACCCUGACUGCGACCCUGCCCGUGUCCGCUGUCCUCCUUCCCAACACGAGAGGUGGCUGCAGGCGCGAGGCCAGGCCUUGAGUCCCGUGCCUUCCCGCCCCUCCUGCCUCCCUCCCCAGUGUCAUCAGGGUCCCUUGUCUACUGCACCAGCCCGGUCGACAUCUGAACACGCUGUGAGUCCUCUUAGAGGAAUCCACCCUUGGCGCCAGCUUCCAACCCAACUCUGCUUCCCAUGAACAAAAUGCAGACAGAGGCUGGUGGGCGCCCCGUGCGGGCAUGUGGCCCACAUCACUCGCCCUCCACCAGUGAACGCACGCUCCCCCACCCCAGGGCCCCUGUCCUUCCAGUUGCUACGGUUGAUUCUGUUCCCAUCUUGUUAACCUCUCAGCAGAACGAACAUGGUGACGGCGGGUACCCUCCCGUUCGUUCAGCCCCUUUCUCACUGGCUUUUGGGGAGCCACUCGGCUUCCCGACCUCUCAGCCUCCCCUCCCAGUGCCCCGUGUGGCGCCAUGGAGGCCCCCUGGUCCUUGGCCCUCUGCCCUUCUUGCCCACAGCCCCCCUCAGUGGCCUCUUUCAGGCUCAGAGCUUUAAACGUCAUCUAUACACAGAUGUUCCCCAAUUAAAAAAACCACUUUCCCCCCCCACUGAGCCCCCCACGGGUCCACCCCAUGCCGACCCCACACUUCCUCCUUGAGGCCUACCGACUACAGGAGCUGAGCUUGUCCAGAUCACAAGUCGAGCUCCUCAGAGCCACCCUGUCCUGCAGUUCUCCUAGCUUAGUUAGUGGCAUCAGAUUCACCCAAAGGGCUCAGGCGGGGCUGGUCACCCCACCGUCUUUUCCCCCAGGAUGCCAGCCAGUCCAUCUGUGCUGCCCCAAGAGCUUCCUGAGUCUGACCACUUCUCCUCAAACCAUCCUUGGCCUCUUGUCUGAACCACUUACUCGUGUCCACUGGCCCAGGUUGGGGCAGAGGUAGAGGCAGCCCUGGCCCCGGGCUGCCCACUCACUCACCCAGGAAGGCAGCCCGGCCGGCAGAGGCCUGUGUGCCGUGGCCGGGGCCCUUCCGUUUACCCACCGGACAGGCCUCUGAGUACGAGCUUCUCUUCCGGCCCCACCCCGUGCUUUGUCCGUUACCGUGUGCGCGCACACGCAUGUAGGCUUCACAUGGCUGAGGACGGCACCUGACCUCUGUCUCCCAUGCUCCCAGCACCUCAGCCAGCUUGCACUCGGCUCGGUGGUGGGGUGCUGACAUAGGCACUGCCACACCAGGCGGCUGAGGCUGGGCAGACAGGCCAGAUGACGGCUCUGUCCCCCUGGCGUCUGCUCAGACGCUCCGAAGGUCCCAGCCCAAGACGCUGGUAGCAACCUCCCCAGUCAAUGGGACUCAGACCCGCCCCUCACUGCUGAGCCAUCUCCAGUCCUCCUUGGUCCGGUCCAUCUGUCCUGCUUCCGUCCUACCAGCCCAGCCAGCCAGCUCUCAUACCACCGUCCUGAGAAGGGGCAGCGCUGGGGACAGGCAGGCACGAUGCCUCAAACUCCAGCACAUUAAGUCGUCCAUAUGUGCAGAAGGAAAUAUAACCCACGAGCAAAGACAACAAUAAUAACACGCUCCCGUGGACUCCCCCACCUGGUCCCAGGAACGGCCAGCUGCUUUCCAGCUCUGUACAGAGGCUGUGCUCAUGUUCCAGGGAGGCGUCCACACUUGUCUAGCGCUGGCUGGGUGCCCUCUCCUGCUCACCAUCAUCUAUUCUGGCUCCCCACCCGGCCCCCGGGGCUAUUUUGGGUGAGUACCCAUUGGGGUUAGUUAGUCCCCUUACGUGAGGGCUGAGGGCCAUGCUGCCUAGGGACCCCGAUAUGACCCAGCCUUCUGCAAAGGGCGGUCUGAGGGCUCUGCAGCAGCCUGGGCCUUCCCAGCACCCCCCACUCCUGCAGAGAUACGUGGACACUGCUCCUGACCUGAGACAGGUCGGGGAGGAGGUGCUGAGGCCUGUGAGCCAGUGGGGGGCGGGGAAGGUCAGGAGGCUGGGCCAGUGGGGGUGCUUCUGCUUAGCUUCUCGAGUUUACCCCGGGGGAGAACCCGAAAGAGCUCCCCCACCCCCAGCUCAGCUGCCCAGCUCCUGGCUGACGCAGGUGCUAAUCCUGCGCCCCUGGGAACGCCAGCGGGGAGCCUGGGAGGCAGGCUGGAGGUUUUCUUUCCCACUCGGGAAAGAAAGAGGACACAUGAGCCGACCUGUUGGGAUCCAGUUCCUGAAAUCGGAGCCCAGGACAGGGUUUCACUGCAGCAGGCUGCACACCUGCCCAGGGGCUCGGUCCUGUACCUGUAGGGAAGGACCCUGCUGAGGGACCUUCCCCUUUAAAAGGAGGGACGGAGGACAGCCGGGGCUCAGCUCUGCCCCCCAAGGCCUCACCCUGAUCCCCCUGCUAACAUCCAUUCACUGCAGAGGAAGAGACAGAAAACUGAUGUGACAGCAAGGUGACAUCAGGAUAGGUCGGCACAACGCCUGGUGUCAGCGGGGCUUGACCCACCUGGAGGAAGUGGCGCCUGAGACCUGAGGACAGCACGGGGUGGGCUGGAGGGGGGCGCGCUCAGGACAGAGGUCGCACCACCCACACGGCAGCCAGUCUGAAUCCUGGGGCUCCCCUCCCCAGGAAGACCCAGAGCUUAAGACAAUAACUGGGCCCCCUUCCACGCUUGGUUUCUGUCUAUUUCUUAAGAAUUAGUCUGGAAAAUUUCAAACAGGCACACGAAAGUAGGGAGACGAUGUAACGAACCCCCCGAGGCCUCAUCACCCAGCUCCAAUGUUCCCAAGCAGUACAGUCUCAGCUCAGCACUCCCCGCGGCCGCAUUAUUUUACAGGAUUCCUUAAUUCGCUAAG